UACGUAGGGUGCAGGCGUUAAUCGGAAUUACUGGGCGUAAAGCGUGCGCAGGCGGUUUUGUAAGUCUGACGUGAAAUCCCCGGGCUCAACCUGGGAAUUGCGUUGGAGACUGCAAGGCUAGAAUCUGGCAGAGGGGGGUAGAAUUCCACGUGUAGCAGUGAAAUGCGUAGAGAUGCGGAGGAACACCGAUGGCGAAGGCAGCCCCCUGGGCUAACACUGACGCUCAGGCACGAAAAGGCGUGGGGGAGCAAACGAGG
rnacentral:rRNA from 1 species